UUCCCAGACUCCUACGGGAGGCAGCAGUGAGGAAUAUUGGUCAAUGGUCGGGAGACUGAACCAGCCAAGCCGCGUGAGGGAGGAAGGUACAGAGUAUCGUAAACCUCUUUUGUCAGGGAACAAAGGCGGGGACGUGUCCCCGGAUGAGUGUACCUGAAGAAAAAGCAUCGGCUAACUCCGUGCCAGCAGCCGCGGUAAUACGGAGGAUGCGAGCGUUAUCCGGUUUUAUUGGGUUUAAAGGGUGCGUAGGCGGGGUGUUAAGUCGGUGGUAAAAUGGGGGGGCUCAACCCCUGACCGCCAUUGAAACUGGCGCUCUUGAGUGGAAGAGAAGUAUGCGGAAUGCGUGGUGUAGCGGUGAAAUGCAUAGAUAUCACGCAGAACCCCGAUUGCGAAGGCAGCAUGCCGGCUUCCGACUGACGCUGAAGCACGAAAGCGUGGGGAUCGAACAGGAUUAGAUACCCGAGUAUG
rnacentral:rRNA from 1 species